AGGCUUAACACAUGCAAGUCGAGGGGCAGCAUGGUCUUAGCUUGCUAAGGCUGAUGGCGACCGGCGCACGGGUGAGUAACACGUAUCCAACCUGCCGUCUACUCUUGGCCAGCCUUCUGAAAGGAAGAUUAAUCCAGGAUGGCAUCAUGAGUUCACAUGUCCGCAUGAUUAAAGGUAUUUUCCGGUAGACGAUGGGGAUGCGUUCCAUUAGAUAGUAGGCGGGGUAACGGCCCACCUAGUCAACGAUGGAUAGGGGUUCUGAGAGGAAGGUCCCCCACAUUGGAACUGAGACACGGUCCAAACUCCUACGGGAGGCAGCAGUGAGGAAUAUUGGUCAAUGGGCGAUGGCCUGAACCAGCCAAGUAGCGUGAAGGAUGACUGCCCUAUGGGUCGUAAACUUCUUUUAUAAAGGAAUAAAGUCGGGUAUGCAUACCCGUUUGCAUGUACUUUAUGAAUAAGGAUCGGCUAACUCCGUGCCAGCAGCCGCGGUAAUACGGAGGAUCCGAGCGUUAUCCGGAUUUAUUGGGUUUAAAGGGGGCGUAGAUGGAUGUUUAAGUCAGUUGUGAAAGUUUGCGGCUCAACCGUAAAAUUGCAGUUGAUACUGGAUGUCUUGAGUGCAGUUGAGGCAGGCGGAAUUCGUGGUGUAGCGGUGAAAUGCUUAGAUAUCACGAAGACUCCGAUUGCGAAGGCGCCUGCUAAGCUGCAACUGA
rnacentral:rRNA from 1 species